AUGGGUGGGGGUGUACGAUAAUGUAGGGUAAAAAAUGGAUGAAUUGGGUUUUGAGAGAGACAAUAUUAGGUGUCUACAUCAUGCCCCUUUUUGGGUGUAAACACAAAGUGUUUUCAGACAAAAAAGUAGACAAUGAGACCAAAUUUUGACCCGAUCAUUAUUUAAGAAAAGAAACAGAAGGAAGAAGGACAACUGAGUUGGAGAGUCGAGUGAGAUCCCGUCGAGGUUUUGGUUCGCG
rnacentral:lncRNA from 1 species